GGAAGCUGGGACUGGCACUGAUAGGAAGAUGACUCUGGAGGACAUCCAGUUGAUCAAUGAUCCACUACUGAACCCAAAGAUGAUAGCUACUAUCAUGGAGAUGCACCGUCGUCUCAGUACUUAUGCGGAGGUGAGUUGAAUUUGCCUUGCUUUGCUGCCGCAAUAUUUGCUAGCUUGUACUUAUUUGAUGGUUCGAGUACUAAUUUUUGAGUUUCCAGGACUUGAUCAAU
rnacentral:lncRNA from 1 species